AUGGCCUUUGGAGGAAGGAACCUGGCUGUCUCACGCUGGAGUUCAUCAUUUUGCCAACACCAGAGGGGCCCAGGGCACAAAGUUGAACCUCCUCAGCUCCACACACAGCCUGCCUUUCCUGGUCUGACCUCUGCCUGCCUCUCUAGACUCAUCUCCUGCAGCUCCUCACUAAACACGAAGCCUUCCUCAUCACCGUGUCUACCUCCCCCUGGAUCCUUGAGUGCCUCACGUCCUCACACACCUGUGAGACUCUGCAAAGACUGUCAUUAGUAUAUGCCUUCUACCUGGCCAGGUCCUGCUCAUCUCUGAAGCGCCAGCUUCAGUCAUCUCUUCUGGGAUCUCUUCACCCGUCCACCCCCAUCCUAAUCGGAAUGAGCAGUCUAUCUUCAGUAUUGCCACAGAGCUUGCAGCUUUCCAUGUCACCAAGUUUCUACAUUGUAUUGUCACUGUCUGCAUCCUAGAUGACCUGUGAGCCUCUCAGGGGCAGACAUCUUGUUUUAUUUGCUUUUGCAUCCCUUUCACAAGCAGCCUGGCAAAUAUUUGAUACGUAUUUGGUGGCUGGCUGGCUGGGUGGCUUGAUGAAUGAAUGGAUGUAUGAAUGAAUGAUGGCUGAAACCAGGUCCUCUGCAGAUUUCUGUGGUCACUGAGAAUGUCUUUUGACUGUGGCAGCCCAAUGCAUUGCACAACUGCUUCUGGAAUCACUCCACCUUGCUUUGGGCACACCUAGAGCAUUUUUCUCAGUGACCCCAGGCUUGUUCAUUAAAGCUGGAUGGCAUAGGAGAGAAGUAAGUAAGUAUGGUUUGCCUGCAUCAUCCAUCAUAGAAGUUUAGAGCAGAAAGAAGCCUCAGGGGUCACUGUGACAACAGGGUGGCUAGAAAUUCUACUGUGAGCAGUUCCAAGCAUUAUCACACAUCUCCUUGAGUUCACCACAUCAUAUAUCUAGUCUUUGGAGAUACAUCUGGCUUGUAGGAAGGGGACCCAGCCCGGUGUCUAGAUCUGCCUGAUGGAGAGGCACUGCUCUUGGGUAGUGAUGAGCAUCUGGAGCUGAUGGAAAAGCUUAGCUCAGAUGGGCAGCAGAUCCCUUGUUAUCUGGCCCCAGUUCAGACAGUCGGUCUGUGAUGUUGGCGGUGUCCAAGACAGACUUUGGCUGUGUUGUCCUGUGUGGGUGAAGCACCCUCUCAAGGAAGCAGUAUGCUGAAAUGUGAAAGUUCUUGUGAGCGGCUGGAUCUGGGUGGUUCUCAGGCUGGACUAAGCGGGGCUUCCCUGGUAGCUCAGUCGGUAAAGAAUCUGCCUGCACUGCAGGAGACCCGCGUUCUCUCCUUAGAUUGGGAAGAUCUCCUGGAGAAGGAAAUGGCAAUCCACUUAAGUACUCUUGCCUGGAAAGUCCUAUGGAUAGAGGAACCUGGUGGGCUAUGGUCCAUGGCAUCUCAAGAGUUGGACAUGACUUAACAACUAAACUACCACCACCUCCAGAGGCCUAGGUCAGGGUUCAGGGAAAGGAUGCAGGUCCUAAGAGGACUAGGUAGGGUGGCAAAAUGGAAAUACGGUGAAAUGUUGAAAUGAGGUGAGGAAACUCACACUCAGAAACAAACAAACUUGCACAGUGGGAGACCCCUGUGCCAGACUUAAGUCAGAACUGGAUGAAUUACAAAAAAAUAUUUGUAAUCCCUCAUUAGAUAGAUACCUUACACCGGACGUGACACUACACCUUUCUUUAGUAUAGAUAAAGACCAUCACUGUUCAUUCUCACAACAACCUUAUUCUCCUUUUAUGAAUGAAAAAAAUUGAGCCUGAAGAUGUUGGGAAACUUGCUCAAGGUCACAGGCAAUGUGGGGAUUUGAACGGAGGUCUGCCUGACACUUAACCAUGCCAAUUUAUUGCCUGACGAUUCACCCUCCAAAACUAGCUACUCUGCCUUCUCAAUUAAAGGCUCUGGGGGUCCAGUUACAGACUUUUUUUUUUUUUUUGCUGCUUAUUUCAUUGUCACAGUAGAAAAGACAACUAGCUCUUAACAAGGCCAGAAAACCCACAGUGCUGUUGCAAUGUGUGGGUUACCAUCCAAGAGCCACCAAUGGGCACCUCAGCUAAUGCAUUGCCAAGGCCUUGAUCCACCUGCUUCAGACCAUCUUCCCUCCACCUCUUACCCCACGUCCCCCCUCUCCCAACACUGGCUGGUCCCAGCUGCUCCAUCUCGGAGGCUCACUGUGGGCUAAUGGGGUUUACAUUUCUAGCGAGCUACCAGGAAAGUCCUGAAAGUGCGCAAGCCUUGAGAUCUUAUUCUUG
ensembl:lncRNA